rnacentral:rRNA from 1 species
UGCAACGCGAAAAACCUUACCCACCUUUGACAUGUACGGAAGUUUCCAGAGAUGGAUUCGUGCUCGAAAGAGAGCCGUAACACAGGUGCUGCAUGGCUGUCGUCAGCUCGUGUCGUGAGAUGUUGGGUUAAGUCCCGCAACGAGCGCAACCCUUGCCAUUAGUUGCUACGAAAGGGCACUCUAAUGGGACUGCCGGUGACAAACCGGAGGAAGGUGGGGAUGACGUCAAGUCCUCAUGGCCCUUAUAGGUGGGGCUACACACGUCAUACAAUGGCCGGUACAAAGGGCAGCCAACCCGCGAGGGGGAGCCAAUCCCGUAAAGCCGGUCGUAGUCCGGAUCGCAGUCUGCAACUCGACUGCGUGAAGUCGGAAUCGCUAGUAAUCGUGGAUCAGAAUGUCA